GGAGGGCUGUGGCUUAGUGGAAGAGCCUCUACUUUGCAUGAAGAAGCUCUCAGAUUCAAUCCCCAGCAUCUCCA
rnacentral:tRNA from 1 species